CCGAGCGAGCGCAGCAGCGCCAUGGCCGCGCCGGGCCCCGCGCGGAACCGCCGCCACAGCGCAUGCGCACAGAGCGGCUCAGCGCCUCGCGUCCGACCCGCGCCUCCCCUCUGCCGGCUUAAAGCCGUUCCCCCUCGUCCUCACAUCGUGCGAAUAGUCGCUCCCCUUCUCGCUUCGAGCUCGGUACCGACCUCAGCAAGCCCUCUCUCCCUCCCCACCCGCGGUGCCUGCGGGGCUGGAGCCGGCAGCGAUCGGAGCUGCAAAGCGGCGUGCUUAAGGAGCGCGGGCACCGACCCGGCGCUCCGACACCCCGCGCUGCUGCUCGGCAAGACCAGAGGCUGCUGUCGGCGCCCUCCCAUCAGCUACAGCCGAGGCGAUGCUGCGGAGCGAGCGCCCCGCCGUGCCGCCCCGCGCCGCCCCGCUAGGUGUCAGUGCGCCCAUUGCGGUCCCGGGCCGUAUCUCAGCGCUCCGGCUGCUCUCCGCCGCUCGGGGCUGCCGCGCAUCGUCCCGCUGCGUGCCGGGGAGAAGCGAAGAGCUGCGGUUGGUUUCACCGACAGCCGUCACAGUGUGUCGUUAUAGGGGAGCGUUUCGUUAAAGUUCGUUUUCCAGACUUCGAUCCUAACAGCGUUCUGCGCCGCUGUCGUUACCGUGCACCGCAGGCGGAGCCGCGUCCCGUCCGCGCGGAGGGCUGCGAUGCGCUCACAUCGGAGCCUGAUAGAGAAGCUUGAAGACAAGUGCUGGCUCUGCAUUGAGCCACCUGCGAAGCUCCUUUGAGACAGUGAGGUGACAUGACGGCAAUGGGCUUUGAAAGCCCACCCUCCAGGUGUGAAGAGGACAGGCUGCUGGUGUGAAGGGAUACGCAGAGCUCCCUACCAUGAGCUUCCAGCUCCACUGAAACAGAAGCAGGUUCCCACUGAUGCCAGCACAGCAGAAGAUCUGACACCUAUGGAUGGACCUUAACACUGAACAUGAUUGAGCAGAACAUAAAAGCACCACCUGCCUCUGAGCUUCUCAUCCUCUGUGAACCCAACCAUUUUGCUCAGCCACAUACAAAGAAGAAACCAGCAGUGCUAUGAGGGGCAUCACAUGGGUACCUGCAGCUCAAAGCAGUCAGAGCACACCUCACAUCCCACACUUUGCACCCUUCCUGCAGCAUUUUUAGCAUGCGAUGCGUUUAUAACCGAUCAGUCUUUGCCUUUGUUAAGUCCCCA